rnacentral:rRNA from 1 species
CACGUAGGGGGCGAGCGUUGUCCGGAUUUAUUGGGCGUAAAGAGCUCGUAGGUGGCUUAGUAAGUCGGGUGUGAAACCUCCAGGCUCAACCUGGAGACGCCACCCGAUACUGCUAUAGCUUGAGUCCGGUAGGGGAGCGUGGAAUUCCUGGUGUAGCGGUGAAAUGCGCAGAGUAUCAGGAGGAACACCGGUGGCGAAGGCGGGUCUCUGGGCCGAUACUGACGCUGAGGAGCGAAAGCGUGGGGAGCGAACAGG